rnacentral:rRNA from 1 species
UGGGGAAUAUUGCACAAUGGACGGAAGUCUGAUGCAGCAACGCCGCGUGCGGGAUGACGGCCUUCGGGUUGUAAACCGCUUUUUCUCAUGACGAAGUUUUUUGACGGUAGUGGGGGAAGAAGCACCGGCUAACUACGUGCCAGCAGCCGCGGUGAUACGUAGGGUGCGAGCGUUGUCCGGAAUUAUUGGGCGUAAAGAGCUUGUAGGCGGUUUGUCGCGUCGAUAGUGCAAACUCAGUGCUUAACGCUGAGCCUGCUGUUGAUACGGGCAGACUAGAGGGAGGUAGGGGGGAGUGGAAUUCCCGGUGGAGCGGUGGAAUGCGCAGAGAUCGGGAGGAACACCGGUGGCGAAGGCGGUUCUCUGGGCCUUUCCUGACGCUGAGAAGCGAAAGCGUGGGGAGCGAACAGG